GGUGAAGGAAAGAGAGGGCGUGCCCAGGGAAGUGAAGCAGGAAGUGAGAGGGAACCGGUAAAGCCGGCUGCCCUGUUUAAGAGCCUGAGGGAGUCUCUCUGCAGCUCUGUGGGAAAGGUUGUCUCUGUCGAAGCGAGUCGGGAGCAAGUCACUGCCAAGAAGAAAGAGAGGAUAAAGAACGCCAAGAAGCCAUGGCUGUGAAUAGAUGCAUCAAAUACCUUCUCUUCUUCUUCAACCUUCUCUUCUGGGUGAGUGGAGGCCUCCUCCCAGCUGGACGUCCCUCCACCUAGUCCUGG